rnacentral:rRNA from 1 species
CACCGCGGUUAUACGAGAGGCCCAAGCUGACAGUCGCCGGCGUAAAGCGUGGUUAAUAAAACUAAACACUAAAGCCGAACAUCUCCAAAGUUGUAGAAUGCACUCGGAGAUAUGAAGAGCAACCACGAAAGUGGCUUUACACUCUUGAACCCACGAAAGCUAGGGGA